CAUCCUAUACUUUAAAGGGUAUGACAUUGUAUUUACAAUCAAACACUAAGUUACACUAGGUUUUGCUAGGUAUGACAAAACUCGCACAACUGCUCUGUUUAAUAAGUUAAAAUUUUUCCUGCAACUAACUUGGGUGACAUGGAAUGUGGUUACCUGCAUGGUAAGAAGCUCAUUACGAUGAGUUCCAAUUCACCAGUCAUCAUUGGCCUGCAUCAGGAGGUUGCUGAGCAUGGACUGCAGCUUGUCGCCUCUGACGUUCCCGCAAGUAAAGAACAGUCAAGAGGCAAGCAAAGAGGGUUAAUAUUGUUGCAUUGCCUUCGUCAAGGAUUACAUCCUCCACCCAUUCCUCGAUCCUUGGGUAAACCUCCGGAAGUGAAUCGAUCAGAUUAACCUGCUUAAUGGUGAGAAAUUCUUUAUGUUUUCUACCAAAAAAAUCAAGGAUAGAUUGCACCAGGGUUCCUCAACCUUUCUGUAGCUUCAGUUUGGCCACAACCUUUUAUUGUCAUAAUUCAGUCCCUAACUCUCACAAAGCAAUCUUACCGGGCUUUUUUUGCAUUUAGCCCCCUAAAAAAAAUUUAUUUUAAAAAUAGCCCCAGCAAAUUAUAUUUGCACUUUUGGCCCUCAUCCUGCCACGCAGACGCCACGUCAGCGCCACGCGAGCAGGGCUGGGCCAAGGUGUUAAGUUGAACACGGUUAACCAUUCACCGUAUCCAAACACGGUAAAUGAUUUACAGCGUCUAGAGAAAAUACAAAUAUAUGUAUUUUUCGCAAUAUAAAUAUUAAAAAGAGGAAGAGGGAGUAGGGAUGUCAAUGGGUAUGGAUACCCGAAAUAUUAUCCGAGCCCAAACCCGAAUAAAUUAUUUAUAUACAUAAUUUAUUUUUAUUUAUUUAUACAAUAUAUAAAAUAUUUAAUAAUUUUUAUCCCUUAGAUUUUCAUCCAACGGUAUGAAUUUUUAAAACCCGUUGGGUUCGGGUUUCGGGUUUUUGGUCGGGUAUGGAUAUGGGUAUGGAUUUUUAAAACCCAUCGGGUUCGGAUCCGAGUUCAUAUUUUAAUUUGAUUUUCAAGUUCGGGUUCGGGUUUUUGAAAAGGAGAAGAAGAGGAAUAUAAAUAUGAAACACGGUGAACCAUUCACCGUGUUUGAACACGGUGAACCAUUCACCGUGUUUGAACACGGUGAACCAUUCACCGUGUUCAACUUGCCAAACAGGCUCCCAGCCCGCCCACAUGGCGCUUGCGUGGCAGGGAUAGGGCCAUUUUUGCAAUUAUAAAUUUGUUGGGGCUCGUUUUAAAAUAAAAUUUUUCUAGGGGGCCAUUUGCAAAAAAAGCCCAAUCUUACCCUUUUAAUUGAAUUCCUCCAUCAUAUUAUAUUAGACAGAGAUACACAAUCACUAAAUACAAACAUAAGAACAUUUGAGCUUCUAGCAGUUAGUGGGCAUUUCCAUCCAAUUUAACCACAGAAGUCAAUAAAAGGACUUACUAUUAAAUAUUAAGGAUAGAAACCAAAUUGUGGCAAUUGAUAGGUUGAUAACCUAGGUGAGAACUCCUAGAAAAAGUUGAGGACCCUGGUGGAUCUCACCAAAGACUUUAAAAGUCGAAUUAGAAGAAUUAGAAGGCUACUUGACCUGUAGAUAGACGCAAACUUAUUGAAGAUUGUUAACAACAUUACAUGAUCUAUUGCAACAGACUGAAACAGAUGAACAACAACCUAAUUUUACUUGGCAAAAUAAAUUUCAAGUUUUAAGAUUGGAAAUAAGUUGUAAAUAAUAGUACAUUAUGUUCCAGCUUUAAAAACUAAAUCGUUUAUUCUACGUUUAUUCUAUGAAUCAUGAUUUGUCUAGAAAGUACCACAGCAAACAUCUCAAAACCAGAAUUAGCAGGACAUUUAGCCAAUAACUUUAUUCUUAACUCGGUACUUUUAAGAUAGCUCUUUUCAGUGAUACUACAUUAGCCAAGAUACAUGCGGCUUACUAUGGCAGCACUGCUAUUUUCUUCAUUCACUAUAUACAAAUUAUCCAAGUAUUGUAAUUAAAGGCCAACAACAUACAUACAAUUUAAACAAGGCAAAAAUGUAUGAAGACCUGCUCAACUGUAACCCCUUCCUCCCNCAACUGCUCUGUUUAAUAAGUUAAAUUUUUUCCUGCAACUAACUUGGGUGACAUGGAAUGUGGUUACCUGCAUGGUAAGAAGCUCAUUACGAUGAGUUCCAAUUCACCAGUCAUCAUUGGCCUGCAUCAGGAGGUUGCUGAGCAUGGACUGCAGCUUGUCGCCUCUGACGUUCCCGCAAGUAAAGAACAGUCAAGAGGCAAGCAAAGAGGGUUAAUAUUGUUGCAUUGCCUUCGUCAAGGAUUACAUCCUCCACCCAUUCCUCGAUCCUUGGGUAAACCUC
rnacentral:lncRNA from 1 species